GACGAACGCUGGCGGCGUGCUUAACACAUGCAAGUCGAACGGAAAGGCCCUGCUUUUGUGGGGUGCUCGAGUGGCGAACAGGUGAGUAACACGUGAGUAACCUGCCCUUGACUUUGGGAUAACUUCAGGAAACUGGGGCUAAUACCGGAUAGGAGCUCCUGCUGCAUGGUGGGGGUUGGAAAGUUUCGGCGGUUGGGGAUGGACUCGCGGCUUAUCAGCUCGUUGGUGGGGUAGUGGCUUACCAAGGCUUUGACGGGUAGCCGGCCUGAGAGGGUGACCGGCCACAUUGGGACUGAGAUACGGCCCAGACUCCUACGGGAGGCAGCAGUGGGGAAUAUUGCACAAUGGGCGGAAGCCUGAUGCAGCAACGCCGCGUGCGGGAUGACGGCCUUCGGGUUGUAAACCGCUUUCGCCUGUGACGAAGCGUGAGUGACGGUAAUGGGUAAAGAAGCACCGGCUAACUACGUG
rnacentral:rRNA from 1 species